CUGGGACAUCUGGCGUGGGCUCCUGUCAGCCUGAUGAUAUCUGGAGCAUAGACACCACAACCAGAAGCAACGUGGGGUGGAAAGAGUUUAUUUCAGCUGAAAACCCCCAGGUUACAGCGUGGAGAGUCAGGGAAGAAAGUGAAGGCAGGAACUGAAGCAGAGGCCCCAGAGCAACGCGUUUAUCGGAUUGCUCUACAGUUUGCUUUCUUUUCUACCCAUCCCCCACCCCACCCCACCCCCAAGAGGAACAAGGGAAGCUGGAUCUUUCGCGGGCAAGAGAGAGUGCACACUGAGAACGGAGAAAGCCGCGGGACAAACCGUCACAAAAACAAAACACAAACAAACCCCCAGAGACCAACGGCAAGCUGGGUAAGCAGACCCUCGCUGGACAAGCAUGAAGAAAACCGCGAUUGCUCGGGCCAGCAAAACUUGGAGGCUUAAAGGAAAAAAAGAAAGAAAGAAAAAAAAAUUAACCCCCAGGAAGCACCCCUGUGAGGAGGGCAAAAAGUAGUGCGCAGGGAGGCACGAGGCAGAAUGACCGGAACACACCAGGCACGGACCACCGUGAGAGGUGGACAUAACUGGCACACCAGUGCCAACCCGUCUGGAAAAGGAAGCCUUGCUGGAGCAGGUCCCUGGCAUCUGACCAUUCUUUCACCAAAUGAUCUGUGGCUCAAAAUGUUUUCCAAAUACCAAGAAUUCACCCUGAAAGACUCUGGGCUGAAUUUCCGAUCACAUAUCCUGUGAUACAGAAGAACAUUGUCUUCUGUAUCUUCUGCCUCACUGUAUCUUCUGUAUCUUCUGUAUCUUCUGCCUCACUGUCUCCAGCUUGCAGCCCGCCUGAGGAUCUUCCCAACACCUCCAAGGCCUGAAGCAGAGCCUGAGGAACCUCCUGGGAACAUUCCCCUGCAUCCACCCCCAUCGCUGGCGAGACAGUUGGACAGCUUGUGUUUGCACAUUCGGCCCCCACAGCUAGGCUUCCUUAGGUCCACCCACUUCCCCCUCCUGCCUUACAGUCCCUGGGAGUUCCCAGCCUAAUUGAGUCAGCAGAAGUGUGUGUGACUACAACUGGCCUACUCUUGUGCAACUUGGAACUUGGAACUCCUCCUGAGGUAGGGAGCCCCGGCUCUGAACAAGACUUUUCUGAAGCCUCAUACUGUUUAGCGAUGUGUUUCUAUAUAUACAUUUCUAUGGCCAGUGUCACAGUUCCCUGUAUA
rnacentral:lncRNA from 1 species